rnacentral:tRNA from 3 species
GCCUUCCUAGCUCAGUGGUAGAGCAGCGGUUUUGUAAACCGUCGAUUAGGGUUCGAUUCCCUGGGAAGGCU